rnacentral:lncRNA from 1 species
AUAAAAAUGAAAACUCAUUACUAUCCUUUUAUUAACCUGGUUAGCAUUUGAAUGCAAUUAAGAGAAUAAGUGCCUAUGCCAUAAAAAAUAGCCAAGUACCUAUUACAUACCGUCAAAUGAGGUAAUGGGCGCUGGCUCUGAUUCCUAGCCAAAGGAGUAUUAGCAUUUUUCAAGACAUAAGGCAUUGAGGUCGGAGUACUCGGUCGAUGCUGCCCAUUAGAGUAAACAGGCCCGUCAAAGAAUGGCAUGGCAGGAAGCCCACCUGGCAAAGCUCCUUUAACAUAUGAUCCAUUGGAUGUCAGAGGUACAUAUUGCUGGCUCUUUUUAAAAGGCGCUGAGCCACUCUUCCUGUUUGCAAUCCCAUUCACAAUUCCAUUGCAACCUGUUUUCGCCGUGUCAAUAGGCGCAACCGGCUUAUCGGAAGCAGGAGAAGUAGAUACCUCAGUUUGAGUAGUAGAUGUCUGAUUUGGCACUUUUGAUGCAUUGGUCACCGUUGGUGUCUGGUAAAAUGGAGCUGGAUACUGAUAAGGAUGUGGCCCAUAAAUUUGACCAUCGUGCCCGACUGUAGGAACUGGGGAGGCAGGGGAAGGGUAAGCACCAUAAGGAGCGUAACCAUAUCCAUGGUGGUACAUGUCUCCAUACAUUCCCUGUAGCAUAACAAGAAACACAUAAAGCUAAAUCUCAUAUCUGUGCAAUGCGCAAAAAUAAACACACUUAUGCAUUAAGAAAAUGAGUAAGAUCUAUAAUUUGAGGAAGGGAAAUAAUCUACAGCACCAACAUGUGGAAUUUCUUUUAGAGUUGCAUAUCAAAAAAAAAUCACCAUAAUGAACUUUUGAGGUUAAUUCUCCUAAAUAGUUAUCAUGGACUAUCUAAAUUGAUACUGUUGGCAAAGUAGUUAUUUCACAGUUGUCUCGUAAAAUAGCAAACAACUUGAGGAGAAACUUACCGGCAGCAUCUCCAUUCCAUCGCGACUGAUGUAUUUGGAGUACUCAUCCCACUCAUUUGUAGAACCAUCAUAACCUGCAAAUUAUAUUGUUAUUACCAAACUAAAAGCAAAAAAUCUUAGAGAUGCUUAAAACAUGUUAACGUGUGACCAACAGUUUUGCAAAUUAAUAAGGAAGACACAAGCUGUAUGGGUUCAGAAAAAUACAAUGAGAGGGGAAAAAAAAAAAAAGAAGAGGAAAGACAAAUACAACUACAUGACGAUUUAGAAGGGCGGAGAGGAAAAUUGGAAUACCUCCAUAAUAAUAAGCUGGAGAGGGAUAUCCAUUAGGUACAUAACACAUGUUAUAAUCAAUAAUAUCUGGGAGUACAGGCGUCAACGAUCUCUCCUUCGGCAUCCCCCCAAUCGCUGCUUCUCCCCCACCAUUCGCAGGCCCAUUUUCAAUUGAAGCAGGCUACAGUAACAUGAAAACGGCAUAAAUAUAUAAAAACAAAAUAAAGCAGCUCUCUAUGUUGUACAAGAUCAAAUAUGUACCUUUUUGUUAACUUCCGCAACAUCAUGUGUUUUGGUCUCAGAACCCAACGAAAGAUUUUGCAAUAAGCCUGUAGCUUCCACAGCAAAAUGAAUUAAGGGAGCAACAAGCUAGUAAAAGAGGUUCCUUUCAAACAUGACCCGAACGAUUAUAUACAAGUGAUAAAAGAGCUUCCUUCACGAGCCUUACAAGUUAAAAAGUUCGUCUAAAAACAUAAGCUGAGAAGGGAAACAACUAGCUUCUUAGUCGCUAAUAGCCGAAUUAUAAGUUAUAACACAACAAAGUACGAAAUUUAUAUCUCACGUUAAACACAACGAGGAAACCCUACAACGAGCCCACACAAGACCAGAUCGUACGAACAGUAACCCAGAUCUAGGCAUAAACCCAAACAAAACCCCCAAGAAACCAACAGCAACAGCCAAAAAAGGGCAAAAAUUACUGUAAACAAGAAGAUCUCAGCAGCUAAGGCACCAGAAAAGGAUCUAAAAAGCAUCCGAAAGCCAGGAUGAAGAGGAUCGAGAAAAGGAUACUAUCAACUGCGGGAGCUGCGGAAGCUACGGCCGCCAUGUAGCAGAUCCGGAGGCGAACGGAGGAGAAGCGGGAUCUACUGGGAGCUCCGACGAGGAUCCAAAGCCCUAAACUAAGCCCUAACCCUGACCCUGACCCUAACCCUAACCCUAACUCUGAUCCUAGGGUACGAGAGUGGAGAUGGAUAAAACCCUAGGUGAGAGAAAGGUGAAGGGGAGAAGGGAAAGUAGCCGCCACGGGAGCUGGGGAUCAAAGAGGGUUUCCUACAAUGCUGAGCGGUGAUACAUAUACCACCGCGGCGAAUCAUUUGUUUACUAAAUGACGUGGAAUCGCUACGCGUACACCCAAGUGUCCCAGCAGUGUUCCCAUAACAAUAACAGUGGCAGGUCAAGCGAUAGUGGAGGAAGGUAAUUACUAAUUAAUUAGUUGCACUUAAAAAAUAAUGCCAGCGAAGGAUUAUAAACAGUUUCGAUGAUGGACGUAUUAUUGUUCUUAAUGAUUUUUACUAUUAAAUUAUUUUUUGCCCAUUUUGAGUCGGGGACAUUUUUGGGUACAUUCUUGAGAGCCCGCAACAUUUGGCUUAACUGCUUCGUUAAUUUAAUCUCGUGGUUAUCACCUCACAUGAUUAGUCUUUUUUGGGCUGCAGCAUCUCUUCAGGGGCCGGGCCCUCGUAGCAAACCCAGGUGUUGAGGUUGAGCUCAAUUUGUACUUUAUCACCUCAAUGAGGCCUACAAAGUGGAUCCAUACAAUAUUUUUCUUUUUUCUUAUGAAAAUAAAUUCACAAAUGUUUUAACAGAUACAAACUAUGAAUUUAUUAUUUAGCAUAUUAGAUAACGUAUAAUAAUCUGGUCCAAAAGCCACAAGGAACUCCGCAGUUGUUCAGAAGUUUCUCGAGGAAAAACACUUCAAUUAUAUUUUCAUUUCAUACUCGAAAUCAUUUGAAAAGGAAAUGCAAAGAAGGAUAAUCAUCAUAAUAAUAAUUGAGAGAAAGAGAGAAUAUUAUGCUACAGGUGUCUUGCACAUUUAUGUCCAUGUACCAUGCUGAUCAAUGUGGCUAAUAAUUAGCUUUUUUCGAAAACUCAAACACCAACAUAUAUACCUAUAUAUAAAUAUAUAUAACAACAAUAAUUGCAUUACACCGACCGUUCCUAGAGUAAGUAGCAAAAGGUUCAGUGGUUGGUAUCCGAAGUCUCAAGUUCAAAUCCUAGUUAAUUCACAUUUCCAACUAAGUUUAAUUCUAUAUGAAAUAAACGAAACGGAGAGUCUGCUAUCUAUCUCUAAAAUAAUAAUAAUAAUAAUAAUAAUAAUAAUUGCGUUGCCAACAUUAGCAUGUUUCUCUUAAGAGGAGAAUCUGAUAAGGUACAGGUUGCUUCCUUAGCCCAAGAGGCCAACAGAGCCUAAAUCUAUUCAUAGCUGGGGUAAAUUUAAAAUUUAUUUAGGGCUCGAGCUAAUCCGAUCCGUCCGUGUCGGCAAAUUUCCAAAUCUAGUACAGUUACAUGGAACAUUCGAGUCCAUGGGAUGCUACAAAUGACAAAAACAUGUUGACACUACGUCACACAAAAUAUCCUUAAAUGAUUGAACAGGCCUGGGCUGUUGAAGGGAUCGCCAUCUUCUGGGCAAUGACUCGUUGCGCAGCGAGUUUGAUUGAAUAUUUGAUUGGUACAUAUUGUUGUUGCAUGUGCAAAUAUUGGGAUGGGAACAUUUAACUACCAAUAUAUAUAUAUUUUUAUAACAAUUAAAGCGAGCAACCUAUCUAUAUUCUACACUAUACUACUAUAGUCGACUUAAUAAAUGCGCUAUUUCCCUGUAACCGAAAAGAGCUUAUAUCUACAAAUCUAAUCUUAAGCAGCAGUCCUGGUCCUGGGCUCGGUAAGUUGUUACUGUAGUGCUGAAAUGGAUCUGAUUGAUUGAACCCAAUCUACUGAACUUAGAUUCAAUCUAACCAAACAACUAAACCCACAAAUGCGUCCGCAGCAGAUGAACCUCCCGUGGGCUGGGCCAAUACUACAGUGAGCCUACAUUACUCCAUUAUAUAUUUGUGCUGGGCUUGGGCCUCAUAUGUUGAUAUAUUGGCCUAUGCCUGCAGAAAAUUGUUCGGAUUUACCACACAAAAAAGAAAAAAAAAAUGCAGGAUUUUCAAAUAAUUCGCAACCGAUUAUUGCUUAUUUCGCAACCAAUAAUUUUAAAUAAUUAAUUAUCUGCCAAUACGAAAUUUGAGUUUGCAACAGAUUAUUUCCACCGCGAAAAAAUAAUUCGCAAACCAAUAAUUUCAAAUAAUUCGUAACCAAAUAUCUAUAUUUGAGUUUGACACGUGGCAAGCAGAAAACCACGUGUCGGCUUCUCACAUAGGGUUUAUUAAGGGUUUUACUUUUAUAUAUAGUAAUAGAUAGAUAGAUAUGCUUCUGCGUUUUUUGGCGGGACCACAGAAAAUAUAUCGUAACCGAGUCAACGGAAUAUGCGGAAUGCAAUAUUACGUACGAAAACAAAUAUGGUAUUAACGCAAUCUCUUCGCAAUCCAAACCGAAGCAUAAUAAUGCUGUAGAUUUACGGUUUCCUUUUUUCGUUCCUGAUAUUUCGGCUAAUUCCAGGUGACGCCAUUUUCCGGUUUUGACAUUUCUUGGCUGUCAAGGCAAAUAGAAACCCGAGUGGAGGCUUAUUUUCGGAUUCGUCCUGCCCAACCCGACCCAAAAGUCUUAACUUGGCCAGCGCGUUUAUGCUCGACUCGGACUGCAAAAGAGACCCCGCCACAUCAUCAAAUUAGAAUGUGGGCCUUAUUAUAGCUUUCGAAUUUUCUCUUUCGAAUACGUUUUAGGGGCCAAACCAGCAAUGGAACUAUCCAAAAGAAAGACCAAGGUUUACAACUUGAAAUCUCGAUGAACCGAAGAGAAAAGGUAUAUAAAUUUCUGUGUAGGUGAAAAAUCAAAAAUGCUGAAGAGCAACAAAGCGCCCUCGAACGAGAAUUGUCAAUACCGCAUGAGAGACUUACUGCUAAGACGCAAAAUGUUGGAAUGGCCGAGCCUUCUCAUGUACGACUGCAUUUCAUAAGGAAAAAGAAGGAAAAAAAAGGACAUAAUUUGCAUUUUGACCCCUGACUCCUGAACUUUAUGUUCUUGUUGGCGCCUGACUCCUAGAAGCCCGGGGGGGACUCCUCUCAUUUAUUGUGUGGGCAAACUAUUUGUUGCCAGUUUGUUACCUAUUAAAACUUCAACAGUGUUUUGUCUUUCCCAGUGAAAUACUCGGUGGAAAUGUGUAUGUGAGGGGGUUUAUUUAUUUAUUUAUUUAUUUCCUAUUUCUGUUGGGUGGGCUUGUAAUGUAAUAAUAUUGUGAACUUCAAGCGCAUAGACAGGAUAUCUUCUUGGUAUCAUGGUGUUCAUUUAGACAGAGUUCAAUUUUCUUGUGGACUGGAUGUCCCCUGUAAUGCAAGUAGCAGCAUCAUGGUGUCUAUGAACAAGUUAACAAGACCAGAUGUUGCUGCAGUGCUAAUUGAGUGGCCAAGAGAAAAGUUACACGAAGAGAAAAGAAUCUAAAAUUAGGGAAAUGUAAACUUGACAAUGGCACAACAGAGUUAAAAAUCAGUUUGUUUCGAUCGACUAUCUUGGCCGGUUAAGUUUCUAUCAAAUUCUCCAAGUUGUUAGCAUACAGUAGCCUUGCGGUAGUUAAAAAUAUCGCCAGAUCCUCACAUUUAGCCAAGUUACAAGAUUGUUACUAAAGUUCCAAAUAUUGAUAAUAUUUCAAAAUCUUUAAAAAUAAAUACAUAUUUUUUUGUCACGUCGAUAGUUGUAUGUUGACAGUAAUUUAAAGAUUUUUAGUGAUGAUUUAUCAUGCAACCAAUUUUCAAGGAGGUCAUAAAUUUUUUUUUUUCCCGUAGAAAAGAAAACAAUCCUGCGUGGCGUGGAUCGGUCGUAGGCCAAGUCUACGCAAUAAUUUUUUUCCCCCCAUAAAAUGACAAUGAAGUCCUAUUGUACAUUAAACUUUGUACACAUUUAAUGUGCAUUAAACUCCACAUCACGUUACUAAUAUUAGGAGAAUAUUUGAUCUUAUAUAUCGUCUAAAGAGAAUCCAAAGAUGUGCUACAAUUCCAUUCAAACGUCCGACCUUAUGGAAUCAAAAUCCUCCCAUACGAACUUACACAAAAGUCCAACUUAAACAACCUAUUAUUAAGACCAAGGUAGAAAGAGUCCAUAUAAAGUAGUACAUAGUAUAUAAACAUGAUUACAUUAUGUGAACCUUCCUGAGCCCAACCCAUGAGGGCCAUAAGGCCAUAGGCCAAUCUCAAAACCCAAAGAAAGAAAGGACGUGAAUAAUAAUAACUAUAAACUGAAGGGCCUAAGAAAAACCCAUGCAUGCAUUUACACAUCCAUGCAGCAUAUAUGGUAUGCAACCCCCUCUUUCUCUCUCUCUCUCUCUCUCUCUCUCAUUGCACAUAUAGGAGGACUCCAUCUGUAUUAGGAAACAAGUAGAGGGAGAGGGAGAGAAGAGCGCUUUGGUGCCCUAUUUGUUAAAACCCCCUCCACCUUUUUCUCUUCCUCCUCCUCCUUCUCCAUCACGCCGCUUCUCACCCUCCCUCUCCACACCCACAACACUUCUUCUUUCGAUGCUUUUCUCCUUCACUAAAUUCGCACAAAUAACCUUCGUUUUCUCGUCUUUGGUGUACGCAAUCCACUAAUCUGUGGAAAGGCGACGCCGCCUUUGAUCGCCUUCUCUUUUUUUCUGAUUCGACCCCUCGAUCCGCCGCUGGUAAUUUUGAUGUAUUUUUGGCCGAUUCCUCUGUUUUUUUUUUUUUUUUUUUUUUUUUUUUUNGAAAAUCGGAUUUUUUUCCUUUUGGUUUGUUUUUUGGUUUUAUUUGAUGCCAAAGAGAUGGGUUUUUGCGGAGUGAUUAGGGCUUUGGGUGCUUCGAUUGGGGAUUUAUAUGCCUUUGAUGGAGCGAUGGCGAUCAAGAUCGGACCUUUUAGGCCAUUGCAUUAGAACCCAAUUCAGUUAUCUUGUGUUUUUAUGUAUUUCCCUUCUCCGUAUCAAAUCGUGGGUAGUGGGAUCAAUGUGGGGGCGAUCUUAUUCUCCCUUUGCUGUUUUUUCUUUUCCUCUGAUGUUUAUUUGUUAGCUGAUUAUGAACUAAUAGAUUAUUCACUCGUCAGAGUUUUGUUAUUUGAAUUGCCCUUUGUUCUAUACCAACACAUUAUGUUAUACAACUUUUUUAAGAUUAAAGUUGGAGAUUUUGGUAUUACCCUCCAUUGGAAAAGUCUCAUUACUUAUUGAUCAUGCACGUAGAAACUUUGCCUGGAAUAUGCUGUGUGAUUUUUCUUUUACAAGUUUCGGGUGAUGGAUUGCCCUUUUUCAUUAUCUGAAUAGAUUAUUCACACGUUUUUGAGUGAAAUUUAAUUCUUAAAUGCAACUAUGGUAAGCCUCUUAUACAGAACCGAGCAGCAUUGUCUUUUUUAUUAGAAUUUUUCCUUUUUUUUUUCCUUCCUUCCAGCAAAGUGAUUGAUUCUUCAGUUUCCUUUCAGGGGAUAUUCUUUUAGCUGUGGAAGGAGUAAUUUGUGGAUCAACAUUGUCAAGUAGACGGCUGGCUCUGUGUUGCUUUUGGUGUACAGCACAUAACAUCAUCCUUUAUGCAUUAUGGAAGAGACCAAAAUCAUUCAAGACUUCGAUGAAUUCGAGAUGCUCCUCAGUGAGAUACCAAAUGCUACUUCGGGGAGCCCUCAAUCCGUAAUACCUAUCCGACCCAAUUCUAAUUCAUCAGCAAAAGUGGAACCAAUCUCCAAAGGGAAGAUUUCUUCGUGCUGCGGUGGUUCUGCUAAGCUCAACAACUCUCUAAGGGCUCCAGGGCAUGUGGGUGAUACGAAAUCAUAUGAUGGCUCGACCUUAUCUCGGUGCAAAGGUGAUCGAAAGGAUUCUUUGCAUGAUGAAAAUGGAAAAUCUCAAUUGUGCCUGGAGCGAGAAACGGCGAACUUGCCAGAUGACCAAUCUCUGGCAUCGGCCUUCGGGGAACUGACCUUUAAAGAUAGUAUUGCAGUUUUACCUGCUGUUUCGUUUAUGCAAACUCCGCAUUCAGUUAAUGGAACCAACAUUGCUUCGGGGCUCAACUCUGUGGAGAUGUCUUUUCCUCAAUUGAAUACGAUAGCAAACAGUACUUACUCACCCUAUCACGAUUUAGAAAGGCAAUCUUCGUUAAGGGGCAGAAACGAAGAACGUCAAUUCGAUCAAAAGUUUCUUAUGCUCGAUAAUAAUGAAACCAACAUGAGAUAUUCAGAGAGCUUAGCUUGUAAUUUUCAGGACCACUCACAAAGGUUUCCAAUCCACCCUGUGAAUUCUGAAAUGCGUUGCUUUGAGAUCCUUCCUGGGGUUUCUAAUAGGCAAUUUGAGUUACCAGCUUCAAACGUCCAGCACCGACUCUACUUUCCAAAACAACAAUAUGUUUAUGUACAACAAUUUCAAAAUCAGGGAUCUAACGUGCAACAAAUGCAUAACCAAAUGGGGCAAGGAAUGCAAGGUUCUUAUUGGAAUAAUCCUGUUGUUAACAGGGGAUCUAAUCAGUUAGCUGCGACUUUGAUGAAUAGUGACACUUGUAGAUAUAAUCCUCACAAUUUCUGUGGUUUGGGUGAAAGCUACACGAUUCGACGUGGUGAAAAGAUAAAUUAUCCACCUUCACUAACCUGUUCUGCUAGAGGAUUCUCAGAAAAUCAGUCCAUCAACACAGUUGAUGAGAAGAACUUUCCUGCAAAGAUAUUAAUGAGGUCUAAUGGAGCUAACUCACUGAGAACUAUUAGAUCUGGUUCUCUUAUUACUAGUCAAUCACAACACCAUGUUCUUAACAAUGCUGGCGUGUAUACUAAUGGCAAUACCCACCUUCCUCUUACAAUGAGACCCAACUCCACUCAACUUAAUGGACAGAAGUUGCAGUUCUUGUCUUGUGUUAAUUUUGAGUCGGUGGAUGAGAUUGCGGGAAGGAUAUAUUCCUUUGCAAAGGAUCAGAACGGUUGCCGCUCAUUGCAGAAAGUUUUCACUGAAGGAACUCCAGAAGAUGUUGAGAAGGUCUUUAACGAGAUCAUAUGUCGCAUUGUUGACCUUAUGACUGAUCCGUUUGCGAACUAUCUAGUCCAAAAACUACUUGAAGUGUGCACACAGAGUCAAAUGAUGCGCAUAGUUCAAGAAAUUACCAAAGUUUCAGGCGAUUUGGUUUUGAUCUCAUGUAAUACGCAUGGGUAAAAAUUCUCGCACAUCUCUAACAACACAAUUUUGGCUUCUCUGUUACUGACUCACAUAGCUGAGAUUAUAGCUUCAACCUCUUUAUUUAUUGUUUUCUUCUCCUCCAAUAUAUAGGACACGUUCUCUACAGAAGUUGAUUGAAACCAUCAAAAGUGAAGAGCAAAUUUCCAUGGUUGUAUCAGCUCUGAGGCCUGAUAUUCUUUCCUUGAUGAUGGAUGCCAAUGGUAGUCAUGUUGCACAAUGCUGCUUGCAAUAUCUGUUGCCGGAAUAUAUAGCGGUAAUUCUUGCAUAAUUUGAGCUAUAUUAGGAUAAUUAUCUGCUUCUUUGUGAUGCAGAGGCUAUGCUAUGUACUAUAUUAGGAUUGCACCAAAAGUUCUGUCUUGUGUAUAAUUAUAAUUGAUUGGUUUUCUGAACAAUUCUCGGAUUUUUCUUUUUUUUGUUCAGAGCUCUUGCAAUUAUUUUCAUGUAAAACAUGAUGCACGUCAGUAAAGAACUGUUCCUAAUUCAAGUUUCCAUAAAGUUUACUUUAUGCAAGGGAAUAGAUUUCUAUUCCUUACUAUGCUAAACUGCUGCAUAAAUGGCUGAUGCUCUUGUUGGUGGCCAUAGAGUAGGCAUUAACUGAGAACUUUCUUGUACUAUCAAAUUUGAUUUAAGUUUCCGGUAGUAUCAAUGACAAGUCUCUUUCUUUUUGUGCAGUUCAUCUUUGAUGCUGCCAUUACUUACUGCUUCGAUUUAGCGAAAGACCGUUAUGGAUGUUGUGUGCUUCAAAAAUGCAUCUUUCACUCGAGUGGCGAAAAGAGACGCCAGUUGAUAUCUGCUGUCAUAUCUAAUGCUCUUUGUCUUUCUCAAGAUCAAUAUGGGUAUAGCUUGGAAUGCUACUGUUUAGAUGGUUUUCACAUUUAGUUAUUUGCGAUCAAUUUUUCGUACUCUUCUUUAUUGUUCUUGCAUAGGGACAUUUUAACUUCUUUAUUCUUCACGGACAACGACAACUAAGCCUUCAUACCUGAAUACCUUAGGACUGGGUAAAUAGUUCUUUUCUCCUCGAGUUCACUCCUGUAUGUCAAUCCUAUUUUGCAGGAACUAUGUGGUACAAAUCAUUCUUGAUCAAGAGAUUCCAUGGGCGACAGAUGCGAUCUUGGAUCAACUGCAAGGUCGGUUUGGGGAUUUAUCGAUGCAGAAAUAUAGCAGCAAUGUCGUAGAGAAAUGUCUGAAACUUGCAAGGGAUAUCGGGCGUGCGAAGAUCAUUAGGGAACUAAUGAAUAGUUACGACCUGCCCCAAAUUAUGCUAGACCAAUAUGGGAACUAUGUCAUUCAAUCAGCACUGAGAGAAUGCAAGGUAAAAACAGAAGAAAAAGAAAAAGAAAGUCUAGUUAACAUUUCAAUUUUCACUCUGCCCCCCUAGAAUAUCGAAAAUAACAUAUGAGACCCCAAGAUUAUGAGAUUUUAUCACUUUAACUCCUUUGUCACUGUUCCAUUAGGUGAUGAUAUCUAUCACUUUUUCCAUUGGUAAAUGGGUAAUUGAUAGUUUUGUAGAUUCCGAGGUGAAUGUGAAAAUCAUGAUACUUAAAAUCCCUUAUUUAAUGCAAAAUAUUUGUAUUAAAACACUUUCCUUCUUUUGAAUUCUGACAUGGUGCUGGAUUAAUAUGCUGGGCAGGGCGCACUUCAUGCUGCGUUUGUCGAGGUCAUCAAGCCGCAUGCUGCUGUACUCCGAACUAGUCCUUUUGGCAGAAGAGUUCUUUCGUGCCCUUCCCUAAAGAAUAAAUAGUGUUUUCAGAGGAUAUCAUACGUGUUUGCAAGUCCUUUUGCAGUUAACCCAGGGAAGAAUAAGUAGCCAUCAUAAAUGACCAGCAUUUAUAGUUCUCCUUGGUUAUUAGGAAAUUUUGUGUUUAGAUAGGUAAUAGAUUGUUUUUCUGUUUAUGGUAGACAAGAUCUUGGAACCUUGUAGAGUUUGUAAACAAGAAGGUUGUAGAGUUAUUGAUGUGGAAAUAAUUGGGUUUUGGGAAUUUUGUACGUUGGAUUUCUUUUUACCUUGAAGCUUGUGGUAACUUAAUUGCUUUGUCUCUGCGGCAUAAGAUUGCUGGGUUUUAACGCUUUAUCUUUCCCGUACAUUUUAAGCUUUAGUCUUUGAUGUUGCUCUUAUUAUGAACCGGAGGACUAUGCAUCACUUCUUCAAUCUCUGAAAGUUUCUAUCCGUUGCUUGAUUAGACUCAUUUGGAGGUCGUUACGGCCUACAAAUACAAAGUGUGUUGUGGGAUGGGUGUUUUGAUUGUCAAUUAUGAUGCAAAAAAUUGACUUUGGCCCAAUGUAAGAUCUUAAUAGUUAUAGUUUUUGGGGCUUGUUUGUUCUUCUCGACACGAUGAGAUGACCGUUUGGCUUCUGACUUUUUAAAACGUUCGGCACAAUAUGUAUACAUUGUACAGUUCCCAGUUGUAUGUAUGUGUAUACAUUAAGGGCUUGUUUGGUUUAAGGGUGGAAUUGGAAUGGAUAAUGGAAUGGGAAUGAAUUGGAAUGGUAAUUGGAAUGGCCCAUUCCUCCAAGACGUUUGGUUUAUUUGUGGAUUGAGAAUUGGAAUGAGUUAUUCAUCGUAUAAACUAAAAAAAUUAUAGGAUACUAUAAUACUAAUUUUACUCUCAAAUAUAAAUUUAUAUUAUUUAAAAUUUAUGAAAAAUAUAAUACUAUUCUCUAAUAAGUUUUUUUUAAAAAAUAUCAAAUUUAUUUUUAAAAAUUUUUAUUGAUGUGGGUUAGGGAGGGGUUUUGAGAGAGGAUAGGUUUUUUUUUUUUUUUGAUGAGAAAGGGGUGAAGAGAAGGAGGAUGAGAUGGUCACAUGGGUUUCGAGAACUUAGUGGGCUUCCGGAAUGAAAUCUCAAUCCGGACUAGAAGACCGGAAUCAAGUUGAAGGCUAAUGGGCCAUUCCCAUUCCAGUCCGGAAUAGGAAUCCCAAACCGAUUCAUGCGAACCAAACAAAAUUAACCGGAUUUGAUCAAACCGCUUCCUUUUUCAUACCCAAAAUGGAUGAACCAAACAAGCCCUAACAAUCAAUCCCCAGCAACAAACUAGAUAAAGAACAUGAUAUAUUGUUGAACUUUUGAAUCAGAUACUCCGCACUCCAAUUUUUGGAGAGUGUUUUAUCUUAUGAGUUCUUGAAAUGUUAUUGGUGCAGAUCCCUCUGAAGCACAUUUAUACGUGCUUUUGUCAAAAACUUGUUUCGGCCCAAUUGUAUCGGGUGGUUCUCAAAACCAAAUGGGCCAUAUAUUGAGCCCAAAUUAUAGCAGUUUUUGGAUAGGUAAUGAUUAUUACUAAUGGCUGGGCCCGGUCUAUAGCGGACUGGACUAGCCUAUCAGACUAUUCUUUAAAAGGCUGAUCCACACUUAUCUUCCUUCCACAAGAUGCUCAGCCCAAAUCACCAUCUUAGAAGAAACAUGUCUGUGCCGUAUCGUGCCGGGCCGAUAGUUCAACUCUCAAAGCCGGCCUUUAUGCAGCCACAACGGCUUUUUUUUUUUUUUUUUUUUUUUUUUUUUUUUUUUUAAAAGAAGAAAAAAAAGGGGAAAGUGGAAGCACUAAAGUAUUAUUGGGGGAAGGUCAUUAUGCUGCAGCCUGAGCUGCUAAUCUAGCAGCUUUUUGAUUGGGACCAGCCUCAUUAGAUUCUUCGUGUUUCACAUUUUAUACUCGUCAUAAUAAUAAUGCACUCUCUCAUGUUUACACUUUAAACUGCCCCCACGUUUACUUCUUGUUCCCAUAAUUUGAUUACUCCUCCGUCCACUUAAGACCUAUUUUAGAAAUGUGCUGUUUAAAUACACCGACUUAGAUGCUAGAAGAGAUUUUUUACUUUUUUUUUUGUUGAAGGAAAGAAAAAUUGAAAGCACUUGAAAUAAUCCUUCUUCUUCUUCUAAUACUAUAAAAAUAAAACACCCGAAGAGAGAAGUUGUUUUAAAACUCUGGAUUUAAUAGGUGUCUGUCUACCUAAUCGACCUAGUGAGAAGAUUUCUUAAAACGGAAGCAAAUGCGCAGAGUUAGAAAGUCAGCCACAAAUUUGUAAUGAGUGAUAAAAGAUAAAAGAGACCGACCGUUCCUAGAGAAUGCGGCAAAGGAUUUGGUGGUUGAUACUUUCCAAAUUCGAAUCCUAGUUGAUUCACUUUUCAAUUGGUGGUUGAUACUUUCCAAAUUCGAAUUCUAGUUAAUUUAUUUUUCAAAUUCGAAUUCUAGUUGAUUCACAUUUUCAGUUAAGUUUAUUUCUAAAAUAAAAUAAAUGAAACGGGUAGCAUACUAUUUAUCUCUUUUAAAAAAAAAAGAAAAGAGAUAAAAGAUAAGAAAGAGAGGAAAAAAAAAAAAA